AUUGAACGCUGGCGGCAGGCCUAACACAUGCAAGUCGAGCGGCAGCGGAAAGUAGCUUGCUACUUUGCCGGCGAGCGGCGGACGGGUGAGUAAUGUCUGGGAAACUGCCUGAUGGAGGGGGAUAACUACUGGAAACGGUGGCUAAUACCGCAUAACGUCGCAAGACCAAAGUGGGGGACCUUCGGGCCUCACGCCAUCGGAUGUGCCCAGAUGGGAUUAGCUAGUAGGUGGGGUAAUGGCUCACCUAGGCGACGAUCCCUAGCUGGUCUGAGAGGAUGACCAGCCACACUGGAACUGAGACACGGUCCAGACUCCUACGGGAGGCAGCAGUGGGGAAUAUUGCACAAUGGGCGCAAGCCUGAUGCAGCCAUGCCGCGUGUGUGAAGAAGGCCUUCGGGUUGUAAAGCACUUUCAGCGAGGAGGAAGGCAUCAUACUUAAUACGUGUGGUGAUUGACGUUACUCGCAGAAGAAGCACCGGCUAACUCCGUGCCAGCAGCCGCGGUAAUACGGAGGGUGCAAGCGUUAAUCGGAAUUACUGGGCGUAAAGCGCACGCAGGCGGUUUGUUAAGUCANAUGUGAAAUCCCCGCGCUUAACGUGGGAACUGCAUUUGAAACUGGCAAGCUAGAGUCUUGNAGAGGGGGGUAGAAUUCC
rnacentral:rRNA from 1 species